UAUUUUUUCUGGGAACAUGUUUUUACAUUUCACAUGAUAAACAGGUUGAAACUUUUCCCAUCUAAUUCUCUCUACUUAUUGCUUGAUUCCUUCUCUCUCUCUCUUCUCUGGUCUUCUUCCCUAUUUCCAUUCGUGGAGAUCGAAGUUGCAGGCGGUGCGAGGAUUGAAGAGGGUUCUUGAAGAUCUCUGUCUUCUCCAGUAGUUUAUUGGUUCGAAAGAAUUCUCAUUGAAGAGGUCCUCAAUUUCAUCAUGAUUUUAUGUACAAGUAAAGGUAUAACUCCCUCCUCCCUAGCAGUGGCACUAGCGGGUGUGCCAAUUUAUUUGGUUGUUUUUAAUUGAUAGCAGGGUACUGAUGGGUGUGUCAAUUUAUUUGUUUGUUUGUAUUUGCUUGCUUUUAAUUAAUAGUAGGGCACUGGCGGGUGUGCCAAUUAAUUUGGUUGCUUUUAAUUGAUAGCAGGGCACUAGUGGGGGUGUUCCAAUUUAUUUUGUUGCUUUUAAUCGAAAGCAAGACACUAGUGUUUGUGCUAUUUUGUUUGUUUGCUUUUUUUUAGACUUCACAUUACAAUGUCAAUAACAUUUUAUGAAGGGGUUAAUUUCACUUUUACAUUUUGUCUACAUCAUCCCUAAACUUUUGGAUUUCAGUCUAAGUUGUCUAAUUGUUCACAGCCUUUUGGAACAUGUAACAGCAGUGCUUGAACAUGAAUUGCACAUGGUGGGCAACACAACAACAUGUCCAAAGUGGACAUUUCACAAUAGGACUAGUGGGGGGAACUUUGCCGCCAGCUAGUCAUCACAUACAACCAACGGCGUAUGUACCAUAGGCUUAGGAGGGGCAUGUCC